rnacentral:misc_RNA from 1 species
UUUAUCUACACAAAAAAUGUUAUCAAUGUCUGUUCAAUCUAGCUUGAAAGGCAAUUUGAGUAUCCCUUCUUUACCUUCACAAAAUCCAGGUUAUAAAUCCUUCAAAUCAUGUUCUUCAUUAUCUUUUAACAACAAAGGUUUAUCAACAAGAAGAAUUCAUAAGAUUUUUGCUUCAGCAGUUGCAGAAGCAGAAUCAGUUGAAGUUGAGACUUCAGAGUCUGUUGUUCAAGAAAUUGAGAAAGUUGAUAUGAAGAAAAAGGUAAUUGAGAAGCCAAGGCUAGUGUUGAAAUUCAUAUGGAUGGAGAAAAAUAUUGGACUUGGCCUUGAUCAAGUUUUACCAGACCAUGGAAGUGUACCAUUAAGUCCAUAUUUUUUUUGGCCUAGAAAAGAUGCAUGGGAAGAGUUGAAAACAACACUAGAGAGUAAGCCAUGGAUAUCACAAAAGCAAAUGAUUAUUUUGCUUAAUCAAGCUACUGAUAUUAUCAAUUUGUGGCAGCAGAGUGGUGGAAAUUUGACCUAAUUGUUGUUUUUGGUAUUUAUUUGUAGACAAAUUGUUUCAACUUUCUGUUUUUGUUUUAUCUUAUUUUUAACUGUACUAUAGUUGAUGGAGA